AUGGGGUGCAGCAGGCGCGAAACCUCCACAAUGCGCGAAAGCGUGAUGGGGUUAUCCCGAGUGCCGUCCGAUGAGGAUGGCUUUUCAUCGGUGUAAGGAUCCGAUGGAAUAAAGGGGGGGCAAGACUGGUGUCAGCCGCCGCGGUAAUACCAGCCCCCUGAGUGGUAAGGACGAUUAUUUGGCCUAAAGCGUCCGUAGCCGGCUUAUCAAGUCUUUUGUUAAAUCCAACGAUUCAAUCGUUGGGCCGCAAAAGAUACUGUUAUGCUAGAGGACGGGAGAGGUCGACGGUAGUCCAGGGGUAGGGGUGAAAUCCUAUAAUCCUUGGAGGACCACCAGUGGCGAAGGCGGUCGACUAGAACGUGCCUGACGGUAAGGGACGAAAGCUGGGGGAGCGAACCGGAUUAGAUACCCGGGUAGUCCCAGCUGUAAACGAUGCGGGCUAGGUGUUGGGGUAGCCACGAGCUGCCCCAGUGCCGCAGAGAAGUUAUUAAGCCCGCCGCCUGGGGAGUACGGCCGCAAGGCUGAAACUUAAAGGAAUUGGCGGGGGAGCAC
rnacentral:rRNA from 1 species